CACACUAAUGCUGCACUACUCUCUGUCUUGGAAUUUUACAUUUUGAUGAAGGAGGAAGCGCAUCGUCCAAUCAGAGCGGUGGGAGCAGGGAGAGACCAUCGUAGCCCAGACAGCAGGGUGGUUCAGAGGCACUCUGACGGAGCAUCACCAGGACACUUACUGCCCCGCGUCCCCUCGUCUCGGCGCGUUUUAUGGUACGAUCAGCCAGACUCGAUAAGAACCCCUCCUCCCUCUCCCAACAUCUUCUGUCAGUGUUAGGGUGUAGCUACUGAUCCUACAACUACAGCAUAGGAUGAGAGUGAGGAGGAACAUCAGGUGUCACAACUCCACAACCCCCGGGUGAGGCUGCAUCGCUACGACAACCGGCGGCGGCGCUGUCAGCUCUUGUACCGUCGGUCCAGAAUCCAGUCAGCCACCUGGCCAACUUUCCAGCAAUCUACACAUCACAUCCAGCCGGCCAGCCAGCCAGACUGACCCUGCCCUGCUCUGCUCUGCUCUGCCCUGCCCAGAACGGGCUGUCUGCAGGAGUCAUCAGGGUUAGUGCUCUUUUGGCGUGCCCCUGUGCCAAACCCGUCUGCAAACAUCAGGCAGAAACUUGUAAAUUUAUAGAUCUGCACUUGUACUAAAGAGAGAUGAAUAAUACACAUACAAAAAAACAGCGACGGAGUCCGUUAAGCACAAAAAAAAAUUACAUAGCACUAAGCGGCAGGUUUUCCGCGACAAUCGCAGAAAAUGUUUCCCCAACACCGACCGGGUUUUAUUGAUUGGUGCUCCGACAAAAAGAGCAACGACUCCUUUGUCUUCUCGAGACCAUUGCUUCCCACGUCAAUUCUGACAGUUACAGCUAAGAAAAAUCAAGGCUCGCUGCUGGGCUGUACUGCUCGCACGCACGCAGUACAGAUUAGGUAUAAGCGUCGGUGGAUUUAGCUCAAGCAGCGGCAGUUUAGCUAAUUUAAAAAAAAACUGCAAAUGCACGCGGUUCAUCAGGGACACGCGAUUGAGGGGAAAGAAAAAAGAAAAAAAAAGGCGUAGUUGAUUUAAAUGACUACCAGCACUCAGGCCUUAUCACGUCUGCGUGGGUGUGCGGUGUGUGUUUCGCUUCUUGGAAGUGGCAGUCGAGGGUCUGGCCUACACAUUCUAAUUUGCCUUACAUUCCCAGUCACUGCGUUCACGAUGGAGUGCAGAGGAAAAAAAAAACGCCCUUCGCUUACCUGUAGACGGCCCUCGACAGGGCUCGCCUUUAUGCAUCUCUCCUUUUCUCGCAGUAAUUGUCAAGUGUUCAUGUGAUGAGGCCAUUACUUUAAAUACAUGCACAUUAUACAUUUGCAGUAGCUGAAGCCUCAUUGGGCGAAGACCGUAUUCUCCUUUUAAAAGAAAUAGCAAAAAGCAACAUUCUAGAACAUGUGAACUAACGUUUGAUGAUCCUGCUAAAUGCUACUUGAUUGGCCGUUAAACAGGAAAUUCAUCAAAUAGGGUCGGAACCUGGUGUAAAACGGCGUACGGUUUUUACACCGACGCCGCUAAUGAUUUAAAAUGAGAUCAUAAAAAGGUGACGGUGUUGUUUUAUGUCAUUGCAAGGACACAUUUUUGAUGAAGGAAAUGAGAGGACAUCACUGGACUUGCGGGGUCAUGUGCUUUUCGCGGGGACACUUUGUUCUUGUGGGUACAUUUUUCAGGUUAAAGAUUUAGUCCGGAUCCAAGUGUGAGUGUGUGUGUGUGUGUGUGCAUGUGUAUGAUUGCCCUACAUCCUUUUAGAACAAAGUAAAGAGCAGUAAAUGGAUGUUUGGCAAAUGCUCAGCCUGCAUCCUUAUCACCACUGCUCUUAGCGCUGACCAGUUCAUCUCCUUUAAAACGGGCGCAAGACAGAGAUGUUUAUUUAUAUACACACGAGCGUAAUAGCAUUAAAAUCCCCCCAAAAAAAUGUGAUUAAAAUGUGUUCUUCUCUGGUUUGGAGAUAAAAAAGCGGAACGCUGCCAAGGAAAUAAAUGUGAGACAUUU